rnacentral:tRNA from 1 species
GGGUUAUUAAUGUAAUAUCAGCAUUAUUUUUUUGCAAAAAAGAAGUUUAUAAUCCA